rnacentral:lncRNA from 1 species
GUUUCAGUGCAUGAUGUUCGGGUCCUCCCCUUUCUGAGUCUUUCUCCAUCAGAGGCCCACCCUAUGCACCAUUCUUUCUCUCCAAGGCCUCAGGAGGAAGUUUUUGGAAAGCCAAUUGGAUCUCUUCCUGAUGCAGGAGACAGGUGACUAGAACAUCUUCUAGAGCCAAAGUAUGAAUGUCCAAUGGUGGCACUGCAGGCAGACAACUGGGCUUCCAGUCUCUAUCAACACCUAUACCAACAAGGCUUCAUAGGCCAAACAUGGACAGCAGUCUCAUGGAUUCUCUGGCCCAGUGGUUUUCAGGUGGAGCACAUCCUUUCAUGGAGACCAACAGAAAAUAUUAAAACAAAC